UCCAGACUCCUACGGGAGGCAGCAGUGGGGGAUAUUGCACAAUGGGGAAACCCUGAUGCAGCGACGCCGCGUGGGCGAAGAAGUAUUUCGGUAUGUAAAGCCCUAUCAGCAGGGAAGAAGAAAUGACGGUACCUGAGUAAGAAGCACCGGCUAAAUACGUGCCAGCAGCCGCGGUAAUACGUAUGGUGCAAGCGUUAUCCGGAUUUACUGGGUGUAAAGGGAGCGCAGGCGGCACGGCAAGCCUGAUGUGAAAGCCCGCGGCCCAACCGCGGGACUGCAUUGGGAACUACCGGGCUGGAGUGCCGGAGAGGUAGGCGGAAUUCCUAGUGUAGCGGUGAAAUGCAUAGAUAUCACGCAGAACUCCGAUUGCGAAGGCAGCGCACCGGCGCCCUACUGACGCUCAGGCACGAAAGCGUGGGUAUCGAACAGGAUUAGAUACCCGAGUA
rnacentral:rRNA from 1 species